GUGGGUAAACUCUGUUUUCUGGUCUUUUGGUCAGCGGUGGGAAACAUUCAUAGUGAUUUAAGAAAAGAUCAACAGGCUAGAUAAGAAUUUGUUAUCUUCCAGAUGGCAGGUUCCAAAAGCAGAGAAGAGUGCGGCUUCUGUCAGGUGUGGGCCAGGAAUUACCAAGAAAUUUAACUCCGUUCCAAAAAUGUUAACCAUAUUGUUCACGCUCAGCAGCGAGGGGGCCUGUAGCUGCUGCGAGAUUAACCUUCUGACCCCAACAAGAGUUUAGACCAGCCUGUCAAAAGCAUUAUGCUUGAAGGCAGUAAUCAUUCUUUAUUAGAAGAACAGUGGCUUUGCCUUGGUUCCUGCUGCCUACCUAUGGAUCGCGUUUCAGUUGCAGGUCCACCUUUAGGAAAUGGCGUCUAGUUUAAUUAUUAACAACUGUGGAUUCCUAAAGGCUAUGCACAGACACUGCUCCAGGCCGGUCUAAUUCACUCUUAAAAAGCAAAAAGCAGCCCAUUGUGAAAAUGUACUGAUCUGGUCUAACAGCGAUUUUUCCUAGGGCUGCUAAGGAGGUGAUAGUAACCUAUUUCAGAGCAGGAGGAAGACGAGGGAUGACAUUUCUACUUCUCAGGAGCUCUGUGGCUGUCCAUAUUAGUAAAGCAAUCUGGAAAGAGCUUGCUGACUACGUACACCUUAGGAGAAGCUAAGCCGAGAUGUACUACAGGAAAUGUCUGAGAUCGUUUGACAAAGUCCUGGUACCAAAAGCUGUGUAUACUAAGAAACACGAAGCAAAACAUUAGACACUUAACUCAGUGAUGUCUUUAUACAUUUUCCAUCACCCUAUAUAUCUGUGAACAACGAGGCCAAAAUGUACUAGGACAGGAUGUCAGUACUGAAGUACUGUGCAGUCUGCAAAUAGAUAUGAAAUUAGGGUGCUUUCAGUUCUCAGUCAGAACUUCUCCAUCCUAAUUGGAGUUAGAUAUUGGUUUGCUAUUACACAACAGAAGUGCAUUGUAAAUAAUGUUUUGAAUACCGCAAAUUUUCCUUUUCCUUUUUCUGUUUUGUUUUGUUUUGUAUCCUUCAAAAUGCUUCUACCAAUCCCUUGUUCAGAACAGAAAGUGGUCUUGCAGACCAGGCACAUUACCGUUGUUUCUCAAUCAAUCUGGGAUGUUGUGAGUUGUCUGAUGCUGAGAUUUUCCAUAAACCCAAGGUGCUGGAAGAGGAUGCAAUAUUUUUGAUCUAACAAGAGCUCUGAAGCUGGAUUUACAUUACCAAACUGUGGCCUGGAUUCUUCCUGGGUCUCUGGAUAACCUGAGACACAGCUCUAGUAAGUCCCUUUCACCUGUAGUUUGGUGCCUUUAAACCACAUUGGCUGUGACUGAAUACCGCUGCUGUCCCUCUCCUCCUGACACUUCUCUUCAUCCAGUUGCUCCUCAGUUGAGUGGUCUUUGCAGGCUGCCUUCCCCAGGAAAGAAUCAUUCCUGAGCUGUAAGAGCCCAGCCCUGGCUAUGUGCAGUGGUACACAGAUGUUCUACAACAUGCCUGGAAGCAGUCCAGCAAUAUUCGCACAUCACUGGAUUUAACAGUUUCAGAUGUCUCCACAUCAUGUUCCCCAUCAUGUCUGAAUCUGUUCCCAUGGGAAGGCAGACACCCCAGACAGAAAGGCCAGGCAGGAUGGAAGGAAAGCCUGUCAUCUGGAACCUUCCUCCCCCAGGCACCUGCAGUGCCCCAAGGACAAGGUCUCAAGGACUGUUCCUCUUCGAGCACAGGCAGAGAGCAGUCUCCAGCUGCCAGUUCUGCUCUCCAUCUCCUUCAGGUAUCUCCGCACCACCAGCUAAGCCACAAUCAGCAAAAAUAUGGUGUCUGUCAAACAAUCAACAUAUGUUUGUAUGAAGCAAAUGGAUUGUCUGGGGAUAUCUGUGUGAAUGUUACAAAAUCUGCUCCUAAACUGAAAAAGAGGGAAACAUACUGAAGAACAUGUUUUCUCCACAAAACAGCUUUCUGAUGAGCACUGUUUCCCAGUGAUUGUGACGGCCCACAAGAACUUUCAGCUGUUGGUCCUUCAGGUCACCGUGGGCUUUUUGUCUGUCCGUGGCUGUGAGAACAGCUCCUGCAAUUUGGAAUUGACCAACCUGUGCAGCCUACCCCGGGGCUGAGCUGCUGGCUGCAGCAGAGGAUGGGUUUGUGCUGCAAGGAGCAGUGCUCAGCGGAAGCCCAUCUGGUGCAAGGUUUUCAAGCUGCUUUGCUCAGCCACUUGAGUGUGCCACUCCAUUCCCAGCACUUCUCUGCAUGGAGAGACUGGGCUGGGCAUUGCAGAGAUGUUUUCUUCAUGAGAAGGACUUUCCCGAGACACUGCAGCUGGUGGAAGGGCUGAGUAAAGGUGGUAAUGCCACUAGUUCUGGGAGACGUAUUGCUUCACUCUGUCAGUGAGUGUAAAUCCACCACUGCUAUGAACAUUGCACAAGCACAUCCCUUCUUGGAAAAUAAAAGUCCG
ensembl:lncRNA